AAUGAAGGGGAUGACGUUUUUUUAUGCAAAUAUGAAUAUGAUAUUCAUUGGCACAUCGUCUUUCAUAAAUU